AUGUCUGCCGGUUUAACAUUGUCUGUCGCUUUAACAACACCUGCCGGUUUAACAUUGUGUGCCAGUUUAACAUUGUCUGCCGGUUUAACAACACCUGCCGGUGCUACCAUCUGUCUUAACUCUGCCGGUUUAACACUUGCCGGUUUAUCGUCUGUCUUAGCCAUCUGUCUUAACUGUCUGCCGGUUUACCAUCCGCCGGUUUACCAAGUCCCAGCCGGUUUACGACUCCGGCCGGGCCAUACCCCAGGGUAUAUCCCCGACAUUAGCCCCCAGUUUAAUUUGGAUUUAUCCAUGUUAAACUGA
rnacentral:rRNA from 1 species